rnacentral:lncRNA from 1 species
AUAUGACAAGUUGGCUCUCAUCAGAGUCCGGGCAAUGAGUGUCCAGUGCCUGCUGAAAUGGUGCCUGCAGAAUGUUGGCUGAGCAUGAGAUCCGACUUCCUAUUCUUGGAAUGUUCGCAAGCAGACUCUGAGGAGCACAUUAUAUCACUUCCUAAUGAUUUUUCUUAUCAGUUUGAUGGCUCCAGGAAGCCCACGUCCCCUGUAAAUCCAUCUGAGAUUGAUCAGAAGGAGAUUAAUGAUUUCUACUGGACCCAAUUCAUCUCAACCUUGAAGUCAAAGUUCUACUCCCCUUGUUCUUCAACCCUCAACAAAAAUUUACACUUGAUUUCCUUCCAACUUGGAAAUGAUCAGAACACGGUGUGAAUAAUUUUACUGUCCCUCUGUGCAUUUGUGUAACAGUCUUACUCCGUUGUAUAAAUCUUUUUUCUUUGUUUUUCUGUAUCACUGCACUUGACUCAGAGUCUAAAUCUUUGCAGGACAAGAAUCCAUAGACUGUACAGAAUCAGCAUCUUGCAAUAAAACUUCAUCCAUUUAUUCAUAAGACACUGACCACUCAGUCUGUAUCUGAAAUUGAUCGAGACAUGCGGAAUAAAAAAG